GGGUGCGAUCAUACCAGCACUAAUACACCGGAUCCCAUCAGAACUCCGAAGUUAAGCGUGUUUGGGCGAGAGUAGUACUAGGAUGGCGAGAGUAGUAUUAGAAUGGUGACCC
rnacentral:rRNA from 1 species